CUUCUUGCUCACGGCAGAAAGCCCAAUUCCAUCUGGCCCCUGCAGGUUGGCUCAGCACUGGGGAAUCAGAGUCCCCUCCAUGACCAAGGCACCACUCCACUGACAGGUAUGGUAUCCAUUUGCCCUCUCUUCUUGGAUUCUCAAGCUGGGGCAGAGUCCAUGGCAGCCAAGGGUGGCUUGGAUCUGCCCAUCCCAUUCUCUUCAGACCCUCCUCAGGGAUUAAGGUCAAAGGUGGGAGGAAGAAGGCUUCCAUUGGCCUUUUAUCCUAGAGGUUCUAAUGGAGGGGAAAAGGGGAUAGGAUAUUUUCUAUCCAAUCAGGAUGUUUAGGAGAUAGUCACAUGGAAGUGGAAUGGCCUUUGGACCCAGGAGUCAGGAAACCUGAGUAGCAGUCCUGGUUUUACCAUUUACCCAAUGUGUAUCUUUGGGUAAGUCCUUUCUCCAAUCUAGGACACAGUUUUUUCACCCCUUUUGCAAAAUAAAAAAGUAAAAA
ensembl:lncRNA MIR223HG MIR223 host gene